GAUUGAGUUUGAUCCUGGCUCAAGACGAACGCUGGCGGCGUGCCUAAUACAUGCAAGUCGAACGGAGAUACUCGCUGAUGAAGUACUUCGGUAAUGAAUCUUGGAUAUCUUAGUGGCGGACGGGUGAGUAACGCGUGAGCAACCUGCCUUUCAGAGGGGGAUAACGUUUGGAAACGAACGCUAAUACCGCAUGACAUUAUCUUAUCGCAUGGUAGGAUAAUCAAAGGAGCAAUCCGCUGAAAGAUGGGCUCGCGUCCGAUUAGGUAGUUGGUGGGGUAACGGCCCACCAAGCCGACGAUCGGUAGCCGGACUGAGAGGUUGGACGGCCACAUUGGGACUGAGACACGGCCCAGACUCCUACGGGAGGCAGCAGUAAGGGAUAUUGGUCAAUGGGGGAAACCCUGAACCAGCAACGCCGCGUGAGGGAAGACGGUUUUCGGAUUGUAAACCUCUGUCCUCUGUGAAGAUGAUGACGGUAGCAGAGGAGGAAGCUCCGGCUAACUACGUGCCAGCAGCCGCGGUAAUACGUAGGGAGCGAGCGUUGUCCGGAUUUACUGGGUGUAAAGGGUGCGUAAGCGGCUUGGCAAGUCAGUAGUGAAAUCCAUGGGCUUAACCCAUGAACUGCUAUUGAAACUGUCGAGCUUGAGUGAAGUAGAGGUAGGCGGAAUUCCCGGUGUAGCGGUGAAAUGCGUANAGAUCG
rnacentral:rRNA from 1 species